rnacentral:rRNA from 1 species
CUUAAAUGAAUUGAGGACCCCGCACAAGCAGCGGAGCGUGUGGUUAAUUCGAGGCUACACGAAGAACCUUACCAGGGUUUGACAUGCAAGUGGUAGGAAUCCGAAAGGUGACCGACCCUUCGGGGAGCUUGCACAGGUGCUGCAUGGCUGUCGUCAGCUCGUGUCGUGAGAUGUUCGGUUAAGUCCGCUAACGAGCGCAACCCUCGCUGUGUGUUACAAGUGUCACACGGUACUGCCGGUCUUAAGCCGGAGGAAGGUGGGGAUGACGUCAAGUCAGCAUGGCCUUUAUGUCCUGGGCUACACACACGCUACAAUGGCCAACACAAUAGGUUGCUAAGCCGCGAGGUGGAGCCAAUCCUCAAAGUUGGUCUCAGUUCAGAUUGCAGGCUGCAACCCGCCUGCAUGAAGAUGGAGUUGCUAGUAACCGCAGGUCAGCUAUACUGCGGUGAAUACGUUCCCGGGGCUU